AGCCUAACCCCGGUAAGCAAUUGCCGGAUAUGGCUAAAAGACCCAAUGACGACACUGAACCCCACGUUCAGCGACUCGUCAUUGGGCUGCAUCGGGAAACUGAUGUAGGGCCGCAAGGCCU
rnacentral:sRNA from 1 species